rnacentral:rRNA from 1 species
GAUGAACGCUGGCGGCGUGCCUAAUACAUGCAAGUCGAGCGAACAGACGAGGAGCUUGCUCCUCUGACGUUAGCGGCGGACGGGUGAGUAACACGUGGAUAACCUACCUAUAAGACUGGGACAACUUCGGGAAACCGGAGCUAAUACCGGAUAAUAUAUUGAACCGCAUGGUUCAAUAGUGAAAGACGGUUUUGCUGUCACUUAUAGAUGGAUCCGCGCCGCAUUAGCUAGUUGGUAAGGUAACGGCUUACCAAGGCAACGAUGCGUAGCCGACCUGAGAGGGUGAUCGGCCACACUGGAACUGAGACACGGUCCAGACUCCUACGGGAGGCAGCAGUAGGGAAUCUUCCGCAAUGGGCGAAAGCCUGACGGAGCAACGCCGCGUGAGUGAUGAAGGUCUUCGGAUCGUAAAACUCUGUUAUUAGGGAAGAACAAAUGUGUAAGUAACUAUGCACGUCUUGACGGUACCUAAUCAGAAAGCCACGGCUAACUGCGUG